rnacentral:rRNA from 1 species
AGAGUUUGAUCCUGGCUCAGGAUGAACGCUGGCGGCGUGCCUAACACAUGCAAGUCGAACGGAAUUUACAUGAAGCCUAGCGAUUGUAAAUUUAGUGGCGGACGGGUGAGUAACGCGUGGGUAACCUGCCUUGUACUGGGGGACAACAGUUGGAAACGACUGCUAAUACCGCAUAAGCGCACAGCUUCGCAUGAAGCAGUGUGAAAAACUCCGGUGGUACAAGAUGGACCCGCGUCUGAUUAGCUGGUUGGUGAGGUAACGGCCCACCAAGGCGACGAUCAGUAGCCGGCCUGAGAGGGUGAACGGCCACAUUGGGACUGAGACACGGCCCAAACUCCUACGGGAGGCAGCAGUGGGGAAUAUUGCACAAUGGGGGAAACCCUGAUGCAGCGACGCCGCGUGGAGGAAGAAGGUUUUCGGAUUGUAAACUCCUGUCGUUAGGGACGAUAAUGACGGUACCUAACAAGAAAGCACCGGCUAACUACGUGCCAGCAGCCGCGGUAAAACGUAGGGUGCAAGCGUUGUCCGGAAUUACUGGGUGUAAAGGGAGCGCAGGCGGGAAGACAAGUUGGAAGUGAAAACCAUGGGCUCAACCCAUGAAUUGCUUUCAAAACUGUUUUUCUUGAGUAGUGCAGAGGUAGAUGGAAUUCCCGGUGUAGCGGUGGAAUGCGUAGAUAUCGGGAGGAACACCAGUGGCGAAGGCGGCCUACUGGGCACCAACUGACGCUGAGGCUCGAAAGCAUGGGUAGCAAACAGGAUUAGAUACCCUGGUAGUCCAUGCCGUAAACGAUGAUUACUAGGUGUUGGGGGAUUGACCCCCUCAGUGCCGCAGUUAACACAAUAAGUAAUCCACCUGGGGAGUACGACCGCAAGGUUGAAACUCAAAGGA